AGUCCCGCAUGGGGCUUCCCGUGAGGAGCCUGCUUCUCCCUCCGCCUAUGUCUCUGCUGCUCUCAGUGACUCUCAUGAAUAAAUAAAUAAAAUCUUUUUCUAAAAAAAAAAAAAAAAAUCUCACUUCAGUAUUCCCUGCCGUGCUCAGAAUGGUCAACCGGUGCAGCCCCUGGAAGACCUCAGGGCACAGCAAGCGAGAUCUCGGGGACUGACUGAAUGCUCUUGGAAGAACGUGAACGCUUCGCCACGAGCGCUACUGAACUGCCCAUGAGGAAAAAUGAAGAAUUAGGACAGGCGGGCUGUGGCACUGGGGCGGCGGCAGCUUUGGAAGAGUAGGUAAAGAAUAAAUAAAACAUUAAAUUCGGCAUUUGUGUAAACGAACCAAAAAGAACCUCCGGCUCGGGCGCUAUUUUAACGACAAUAAUCGAACAUCCUCUAACUACACUUGGCCCUUCUCUGGAUCGGGCGGGGAAGGUUUGUCUGCUGAAGACAGCAAAAAGCUUUUUUUACUUGUGAAAGUUUUCAUCAGUUUCCUCCAGAUGUACGAGGAUUUCCUCGGCGCACUCGAGGGAGGGAGCCCCCGUGAUCUUCUCCUUCACGCUCUGGAACAGCUGCCUCAGCAUCGCCUGCAGCACCACGGCGUCCUCGCCCGAGGACUGGGCCAUCCUCCCUGCAAGAAAGCAGCGCACACGCCCGUCCCUCCCGGUCGGCGCAAAAGCCGCGGCACUGCGCACGCGCAUGCGCACGCGCGCCCCCACCCAGCCCCGGCCCGCGCGCCGCGUCGUUCCCCGGGAGACCGCGGCCGGCGCUUGGGGGCGGGCCCUCGGCCGCCCGUGCGUCUCUCUGGGAAACAAGCCGUCUUACUCUGAGGAAGCAGGAGUCCGCAAGGACCCGCCGCCUUUGGAACUCGUCGUUGCCGGCCUUCCGUGCGACCGCAGUUCAAGCUGUCCCCGCUGACCGCAAGAAAAAAAAAAAGAGAGAGAGAGAGAGAUCCCGCCAACAUCUAGUGAUCCGUUCCCCUUACCGAUCGCCUUGCCAGGAGCUGUGGAGAAGACGCGCUCGUAGUCAGGCACAAAAAGAUGUCCGCGUUUUCACCACAGCGCAGUUCAGUGUGGUGUUAGAGAAAGAAAUGCGCCAGGUAGGUGUGUUGCGGAAAUGCAGAGCCCUCUUUUAACCCAGUGAAGGAGUCCAGGAAAGAAGCGAGGAGAGAAGCAUCACCUAUGCCGGUCCUGGAGCCAGUACAGUUAGAGGAGCUGAGGAGGCUGCAGAAGCAAAUAGGCCACAACCGAAAGGGCCGCAUUUGGCACGUUUACGAGUUAGAGAUGAAGCUUGCAUGGACUCACAAGUGGAUUCCCUAGUGACGCUGUGGGGAGCCUGUGCAAGAAGCUGCAGUGGAUACCGAUAGACCUUCAUCCAGCCCCCUAUCUAGAUAAAUCCCCAGACCCUGGUCAUGUCCAAGGUAACAUUGGGAUCCGAUCCUGGUGUCCAUGGAAUGAAUAGUCCCGAGCCGCUGAAGAGUGGUUUAAUGCCAAUGAAUUCUCCUUUACCUAGCUCGCAGUGUAUACUUCUCCGUCAAUAACAGCUGGUACGCUUCACGUGUUAGCCAGGAUCAGCGAUUCCCUUGAUACCUGUGCUGUUACUUCAAGGGUAAAAGUAUACUAUGUCCUUGCCAACUGUGGCAGCAUGUUUCUUGGUAAAAAAAAAAAAAAAAAAAUGUAUGCUUAAUCUUGAUGGUCUCACUACUACAUUAAGAAAAAACAUACUACCCGGGUAGGCACACUUGUAACUUCAUUUGUAUAAAACUCAGUAUGUAAGCGUGUGUGUGCACGUGCAUAGAAUCCCCAGCAUAUGACAGCUACAUGUGUAGAUUAAGACAGAGGAGUUAUGUUGGCACCUCAGACAUCCAAGAUGAACAUAGCUAUGAGUGAUGUGAUUUUUCUGAAUUAGCAAGCCAUUAUGGUGAAAAUCCAGAACAAAAUAAAAUCAGUCUUUCCUUGA